UACGGAGGGUGCGAGCGUUGUCCGGAAUCACUGGGCGUAAAGGGCGCGUAGGCGGCUCGUGAAGUCAGUGGUGAAAGCCCAGGGCUCAACUCUGGGUCGGCCACUGAUACUCGCGAGCUCGAGUUUGGUAGAGGCAGAUGGAAUUCCGGGUGGUAGCGGUGGAAUGCGUAGAGAUCCGGAAGAACACCGGUGGCGAAGGCGGUCUGCUGGGCCAAGACCUGA
rnacentral:rRNA from 1 species